GCUGCUUCGGCCGGCUGCCCGCCAUGGCUCCGCUGGAACGGCGGGAUCCGCGCCCGCUCUACCGCCUGGUGUGUGGGGGCUGAGGGGUGCCGGAGGAGGCGGCUUGAGGCUGGUGCUAACUGUUGGUCCCGUAGGAAGAGCAGAAGCCUGGUGAUUCCCAGACCCUGUGCUGCCCUGCUUCACCUCACCAGACCUGUGAACCUCUUCAGGCUUUGCUCCACAAGACAUUGGGCCCUUUGGCAUCUCCCUCAGCAGCAGAGCAAGAGGCAUGACACCAUACCUGGCCUUCAGGCCCCAUGGGGAGGUUCAACACUGCCGUGGCAAAGGUUUCUGUGCAGACAGGGAGGCUGAGUAGCUGAGCAUCCACCACGCAGAGCUGUUACACCGGUGAGCAGCCACCAGAUGGAGAAGCACUCCAUAGCAUGGCUUCUGAGUCCAGGCAGUUCCCCUGCCCACAGCAAGUGACAGACCUGUGCUGAGGGAAGCAUCUCCAGUAGCUCCCGAAGAGCUGGAGCUGCUCCCUGUCCCUGAUUCCUGGAAGUGUGAGCCCACAGUUGCUCACAUCAAAGAUACAAGAUGCCUAGAAAGUUCCUGCAGCUGAGUAAGUCUUUGCCCUGUCACAGAAAGGAGGCAGAAACAUUACCCACAGUUAUUGCACAAUCCUAACGAAAAAAGCAGUGUGAUGUUAUGCAGGUUCAAAACUGAGUCUCGAGCUUCUGUGCCAUGCUUUGUCCUCCCUUUUUUUCUGUCCUUUGCAGCAGCACACCUGAGUCACUGCUGAGACUGUGGAAAUCCACAGUGCUCUGUCCAGAUGUGAGCUGAAGCCAUGCCAAGGUGACGACAGCAGCACAAAGCAGCUCUGCCAGGUAGCGAAGAAGUGGGAUGAAAGUCUCUGCAGAGGUGGGGAAAUGCUUCUUUCAAGAGUAUUGGGGAGGGCACAGCUUGCAGCUUCCAUCACUCGACCUUUCUGCUGGCCUCUGCUGCUUGCCUAGUAACAGUAGCUUUGUCAGAAAAGGAAGAAUUAAAAUGGGAUGCACCCCCUCAACAGGGCAAACCUCUCUGUUGUGCCACUCAGAUCAUCAUAAACCUUGCAGCAGAGAACUCCAGGUAAAGACAGAAAUCCCAGAAACCCGUGGUUUAGAUUCAGCUCAGUUUGUCACAUUGGAGAAAAUCUUCACUGUGAAUCUUCUACACAGAAGUUAUGCAUUGUCAUGAGGCCAAAGCCAUAAGGGUCAUUGUCCACGAUUAGGGUCCUGAUAAGUGAUUUAAGAAGACCUUUAGUAGAUACCUAGUCUCCUGAGAUAACACAAUAUAAUCGCAUUGUGUCAUCAGUUGCAGUGUUAAAAAUUCAGUUCCUGUGCAGUUUUGAUGACAGUUGUCUCACUUCUUUAUAAGCUGAGAUCCCCUCUCUAAAGGAGCACAUGCAAACCCCGUAAGCUUGCAUCCAAGGUGUCACAGGAAGGGCCCAGACCCAUGUUUAGCAGCCAGCUGGAAGCAGUCAGCUCUCCUCACCCACAAAGACGGAGUGAAGAGCAGAAAACAUUUCCUGGCCAAAGUGGUACAGCAAGCAAAAACUUUGUUUAGGCAGUAUUCACCAUUUGGAUGCUAUCACCUGACAUGGCUCUUCUUACGCCUAUCAUCUCUAAAGGAACAUAUUCAUAAUGCUGCUGAAAUCCUCUUCAGAUCUUUCUAUUUAUGUUUUAAAUAAAGUGUUGCCUAUUUAU